rnacentral:rRNA from 1 species
AGGAUGAACGCUGGCGGCGUGCCUAACACAUGCAAGUCGAACGUCCUGUCUCGCAAGAGGCAGGGAGUGGCGGACGGGUGAGUACCACGUGGGUCAUCUACCGUGAGGUGAGGAAUACCGGCGAGAAAUCGCCGACAAGACCGCAUAGGCUCGAUGCAAGUCGAGCAAAGCUCUCUCGAGAGAGGGAGCGCCACACGAGGAGCCUGCGCCCGAUUAGCUAGCUGGUGGAGUAACGGUUCACCAGGGCGACGAUCGGUAGCUGGUCUGAGAGGACGAUCAGCCACACUGGGAUUGAGAACGGCCCAGACUCCUACGGGGGGCAGCAGUGAGGAAUUUUCGUCAAUGGGGGCAACCCUGAACGAGCAACGCCGCGUGCAGGAAGAAGGUUUUCGGAUCGUAAACUGCUUUUCUCGGGGAAGAGAACGGACGGUACCCGAGGAAUCAGCCCGGCUAACUACGUGCCAGCAGCCGCGGU